UACGGAGGGGGCGAGCGUUGUUCGGAGUGACUGGGUGUAAAGGGAGCGUAGACGGUAGUGCAAGUCUGGAGUGAAAGGCGGGGGCCCAACCCCCGGACUGCUCUGGAAACUGUAUAACUGGAGUGCAGGAGAGGUAAGCGGAAUUCCUAGUGUAGCGGUGAAAUGCGUAGAUAUUAGGAGGAACACCAGUGGCGAAGGCGGCUUACUGGACUGUAACUGACGUUGAGGCUCGAAAGCGUGGGGAGCAA
rnacentral:rRNA from 1 species